CGAAAGAUAAUCCGAUCUAAUACGUAAGUUGGUGGUCCACCAUGGACCAUUUGGUCCAUAAGAAAGUUAUAAGCCGUGAAAUGCUACAGUAAUUUUCACAUGGCUCAGGCUUUGGCGGGAUGUAUGGGAUUCAAAUCAAAAUAGGACAUCUGAGGGGUUUGUGAAACAAACAGUUUGGAUUCAAAUGGGCUUAAGAGGAGACGUUGGGUGAGC
rnacentral:lncRNA from 1 species